rnacentral:tRNA from 1 species
GUCCGCCGUGGCCAGCUGGGUGAGCCGGCCGGCGUCGGCCGCGUCGGCGGCCACCCGCUGGACGCCGGCCAGCUCGGGACCGGUGCCGGACC